rnacentral:lncRNA from 12 species
GUUCAGAGGAAAAGUCUCUGGAAUCCAUCCUGUCAGCCAAGCUAGCUGGAGUGAGGGGAUUGCCCUCACUGCACAACCAGCUCGAAUGCGACAUCCAAAUCACCCUGGGUUGUUAGAAAUCAUCCCCAAGUGGCCUGGAGUUUAGACUUUUGGACUGCCCUUGCAAGAGGAACAGCUGGCAUGUACUGAGUAAGAAUCCCGCUUUUGGCAUCAGGCACCUGACUGUGCAGCAUGGUGUCUCUAUCUCUCUAUGUCUUUUUUGCAAAGUGUCUGUCUGUCCUGCUGUGGGAGCAAUCCCAGUGUGGAGCAAGACAAGGAUUUGUCUCCCCGGGAAGAAGUAGUGAUGUGACGAGACUGUAACCUCCAUCUCUCUGUACUGCUGUGUGGGGACAAGGGAGGGAGGGAAGGAAUUGGGCAUAAAGUCAAGCCCUGGAAGGAGAGAACAGUGUGGGGAAGGUGCAUUUUUAGGAUUUGGCGUACUUCUCAUUCCCUUGCUCUGAUUUGCUUGGUAAUAAAUUCAAUUAAUUUUCCUGUCUCGGCCAUGUGUUCCCAUGGUGGAUGAGAGAUCUCUCACAGCCUUUGUUGAGUCCCUUGAGCCUUUCCUGAUGUGUUCUGUUCCCCGCCCAGGGUGAGCAGGAGAGGGACAGAGCGGUUUUGCUGGCACCGGGCACCUGGCCAGGCCCAGCCCAGCCCAAUCAUCCCUGCAAUAAUUCACUCCUAUCCCACCAUUACCCGCUCCCACGGCGGCUCUGGAUUCACGGGCAGGUGCCUGGAGUGAGAGGAGGCAGCUGGUGCCAGGGGGUGAAAUGUCUUUGCUGCGAGCUGGCAGGGAGAGGAGGAGGAGAAAGUGGUGCAGAGUAAAGGGGAGAGCAAGAGGGACAAGGCUGGAGCGGUGGAAAGGGGCGGGGAUGGGCACGGGGCAGGCGGGCAUUUUGCUUUGCAGCUCUGUGGGAGGAAACGGAAAAGUGUCAAAUGCAUGCAGGAAAAGAGGGGAGAAAGAGCAGGUGCUGGAUAUCGCCGAGAAUUGGGAUUGAUUUCUGUGCCCGAGCUGCCAAGGCCGGCAGACACAGCGCAGCGCUGGCGGCGUCCGGCGGUGCUCGGAGUCUGCCGGCCUUGGCAGCUCGGGCACAGAAAUCAAUCCCAAUUCUCGGCGAUAUCCAGCACCUGCUCUUUCUCCCCUCUUUUCCUGCAUGCAUUUGACACUUUUCCGUUUCCUCCCACAGAGCUGCAAAGCAAAAUGCCCGCCUGCCCCGUGCCCAUCCCCGCCCCUUUCCACCGCUCCAGCCUUGUCCCUCUUGCUCUCCCCUUUACUCUGCACCACUUUCUCCUCCUCCUCUCCCUGCCAGCUCGCAGCAAAGACAUUUCACCCCCUGGCACCAGCUGCCUCCUCUCACUCCAGGCACCUGCCCGUGAAUCCAGAGCCGCCGUGGGAGCGGGUAAUGGUGGGAUAGGAGUGAAUUAUUGCAGGGAUGAUUGGGCUGGGCUGGGCCUGGCCAGGUGCCCGGUGCCAGCAAAACCGCUCUGUCCCUCUCCUGCUCACCCUGGGCGGGGAACAGAACACAUCAGGAAAGGCUCGAGGUUCUCAAUAAAGGCAGCGAGACAUCUCUCAUCCACCAUGGGAAUACAUGGCUGAGACAGGGAAAAUUCAUUGAAUUUAUUAUCAAGCAAAUCAGAGCAAGGGAGUGAGAAUUAUGCCAAAUCCUAAAAAUGCACCUUCCCCACACUGUUCUCUCCUUCUAGGAUUUCACUUUAUGCCCAGUUCCAUCCCUGCCUCCCUUGUCCCCACACAGCGGUACAGAGGGAUGGAGGUUACAGUCUCGUCAGAUCAAUGCUUCUUCCCGGGGAGACAAAUCCUUGUCUUGCUCCACCCUGGGAUUGCUCCCACAGCAGGACAGUCAGAUACUUUGCAAAAAAGAGAUAGAGACACCAUUCCGCACAGUCAG